AUCUUCGAUCUGUUGCGGGCAGAUGAAGUGGAUAUGUGCAUCCAUUCCGCCGGCGGUUAGAAUUUUUCCUUCACCGGCAAUGAUUUCCGUGCCCGGCCCGAUGAUCAGCGUCACCCCCGGCUGAGUAUCGGGGUUGCCCGCCUUGCCGAUGCCCGCGAUUUUGCCAUCGCGCAGGCCCACAUCGGCUUUGUAAAUGCCGGUGUAAUCGAGGAUCAGCGCAUUGGUGAUGACGGUAUCCAUCGCCCCGCCGGACCGCGGCGUUUGGCUUUGGCCCAUGCCAUCGCGGAU
rnacentral:sRNA from 1 species